rnacentral:rRNA from 2 species
UUCGCCCUUAGAGUUUGAUCCUGGCUCAGGACGAACGCUGGCGGCGUGCUUAACACAUGCAAGUCGAGCGGGGACAUCGUCGGAAGGUCUUCGGAUUGGAAGACGUUGUUCUAGCGGCGGACGGGUGAGUAACGCGUGAACAAUCUGUCCCGGACAGGGGGAUAACACUUGGAAACAGGUGCUAAUACCGCAUAAGACCACGGUUUCGCAUGGAGCUGGGGUAAAAGGAGCAAUCCGGUCCGGGGUGAGUUCGCGUCCGAUUAGCUAGUUGGCGAGGUAACGGCCCACCAAGGCGACGAUCGGUAGCCGACCUGAGAGGGUGAUCGGCCACAUUGGAACUGAGAGACGGUCCAAACUCCUACGGGAGGCAGCAGUGGGAAUAUUGGGCAAUGGGCGAAAGCCUGACCCAGCAACGCCGCGUGAGUGAAGAAGGCUUUCGGGUUGUAAAGCUCUGUUGUUGAGGACGAAGGAAGUGAUGGUACUCAACAAGGAAGCCCCGGCUAACUACGUGCCAGCAGCCGCGGUAAUACGUAGGGGGCGAGCGUUGUCCGGAAUGACUGGGCGUAAAGGGCGUGUAGGCGGCCGAUUAAGUCUGGAGUGAAAGUCCUGCUUUCAAGGUGGGAAUUGCUUUGGAGACUGGUUGGCUUGAGUGCGGAAGAGGUAAGUGGAAUUCCCAGUGUAGCGGUGAAAUGCGUAGAGAUUGGGAGGAACACCAGUGGCGAAGGCGACUUACUGGGCCGUAACUGACGCUGAAGCGCGAAAGCGUGGGGAGCGAACAGGAAAAGAUACCCUGGUAGUCCACGCUGUAAACGAUGAAUGCUAAGUGUAGCGGGUAUCGCCCCCUGCUGUGCCGGAGUAAACACAAUAAGCAUUCCGCCUGGGGGAGUACGGCCGCAAGGUUGGAAACUCAAAGGAAUUGACCGGGGGCCCGCACAAGCGGUGGAGCAUGUGGUUUUUUUUGAAGCUACGCGAAGAACAUUAUCAAGUCUUGACAUCCCGAUGACCGGAACAUAACCGUUCUUUUUGUUUGGAGCAUUGGAGACAGGUGGUGCAUGGUUGUUGUCAGCUAGUGUCGUGAGAUGGUGGGUUAAGUACCGCAACGAGCGCAACCCUUCUUGUCAGUAACCAGCGGUCUGGUCCGGGCGCUGGAUUGAGAGUGCCAGCCAUAACCAGAUGGAAGGAGGGGGGGGCGGCCAAUCAUUCUUCCCCUCCCGUAUUAGGUGGGACACAAACGAGAUACAAGUGCACAUACAAAGAGGGGGGAGUCCGUAAGGGUAAGUGGAUAUACAAAAAAUCCGUGUCAGUUCGGAUGGUGGGCAGCAACCCGCCCACAUGAAGAUGGAGUUGCUAGUAAUCGCGGAUCAGAAUGCCGCGGUGAAUACGUUGCCGGGCCUUGCACACACCGCCCGUCA